rnacentral:rRNA from 1 species
GACGAACGCUGGCGGCGUGCUUAACACAUGCAAGUCGAACGGAAAGGCCCUGCUUGCAGGGUACUCGAGUGGCGAACGGGUGAGUAACACGUGGGUGAUCUGCCCUGCACUUCGGGAUAAGCCUGGGAAACUGGGUCUAAUACCGGAUAGGAGCCAUUUUUAGUGUGAUGGUUGGAAAGUUUUUUCGGUGUAGGAUGAGCUCGCGGCCUAUCAGCUUGUUGGUGGGGUAAUGGCCUACCAAGGCGGCGACGGGUAGCCGGCCUGAGAGGGUGGACGGCCACAUGGGGACUGAGAUACGGCCCAGACUCCUACGGGAGGCAGCAGUGGGGAAUAUUGCACAAGGGGCGCAAGCCUGAUGCAGCGACGCCGCGUGGGGGAUGACGGCCUUCGGGUUGUAAACUCCUUUCGCUAGGGACGAAGCUUUUUGUGACGGGACCUAGAUAAGAAGCACCGGCUAACUACG